AUGCUGGAUUUGGUUGACUUUGCUCAUAGAGGCAGUACGUGUGUCCCACGUGGGAACAAGCAGCCCUGCAUGUCGCUGUGUCCCAGGCUUCUGUGGAUUUGCUCUGGCCCUAGAUGUGGAGAGGAGAGCAGAGAAAAAUUCAUCACAGACCAGAGGCUGGGAACGACUACCAGAGACUCCAUUUCCCAAAAAAUGAGGCCUGGUAUCCGGCCCACCCCCAGUUUUUCCCACCUGCCAGGCGUUGGCAGGUCAGCAACUGAAGUCUGCCGAUCUGCACCCUCCCAGCAGCCUGGUGCUAAGAGAACGGGCGUCCCAAGAGCACCCACAGCUGCAGGAGGGUCCCAGGUGCUGCGGCCACCGCUCAGGGCAGCCCUUCUGAUGCAGACGCUAAAAGAAGCACCCUGGUCAUUUGCCUUUCUCUUAUGUGCGUGGUUUUUUGUUUUGUGUUUUUUUUAAUUUUUUUUUUUUUUUUACGUUUAUUUAUUUUUGAGACAGAGCAUGAACAGGGGCGGGGCAGAGAGAGAGAGGGAGACACAGAAUCUGAAACAGGCUCCAGGCUCUGAGCUGUCAGCACAGAGCCUGACGCGGGGCUCGAACUCACAGACUGCGAGAUCAUGACCUGAGCCAAAGUCAGACGCUUAACCAACCAAGCCACCCAGGCGCCCCUAUGUGCGUGUUUUUAAGGGGAAAAAAAAAAUCAGAGAUUCUUUUAAAUUUAUGACAGUGUUAUAUUUUAACCAUUCCGCUAUGGGAGAAGUAAAUGACUCUUGGAGAAAAAAUUUUUAAAAUAGGUGAAACCUAACAUACCCACCCCACAGAGACCACUGUUAGUUCCUUAUACGUGUCCUUUCAGAUUCUGCAUAUUAAACAUGCAUAUGUGUGUAUACACAUAUAGGUACAAGUUUGCAUAGGUGCAUAGGUGUGUGUUUGCAAGGUGUGAUCAUAUUACACAUGCCAUCCUAUGAUCUUCUUUGUGCAGUCACUAGCUCUCCCUUCUUAUUCCAGAUAUUUCCGUCUUACCUGCCACCUAGACCAUAUCCAGAUUUUCCCAGUAGACCCAAAAUGUCCUGUAGAUCCGGUUUUUCCGAUUGGAGAUAUGCAGUCUGGGACCACACGUUGCAUCUGAAGGUUGGGUCCCUUACGUUUUUUGAUCUAGUACCUCCCUUUUCUGUGACAUUGACUCAUGAAAAGACAUCAGCCACUUUUCCAUUCAUCUAGUCACUCUCUCGUGCCAUCGAGCUCGUUCCUCUCUUCCCUGCAUUUCUAUAAACUAGAAGUGAUGUCUGAAGGCUUAAUGGAUUCCAGUUAACCCAAGGUGACAUGUGACAUCUGGUUGGCAUCAUUGCCAAUUCUGAGAUUGACCAUGGACCAUGCCUGGUCCCCCCAGUACUGUGAGGCUUGCACCUUGUGAUAAGCCCAGGAUCCAAAUGCCAUCACUUUGGUGCUAUAGGAGCAG
rnacentral:lncRNA from 1 species